AGACUGGAUCGGGCAAUCGCGCGGUAACAUGCCGAAAGGUCUUACCGUGAGGAAAGUCCGGGCUCCGCGGAGCAGAAUAACGGAUAACAUCCGCCAGGGGCGACCCUCGGAAAAGGGCAACAGAAAUAUACCGCCGUGAAAACGGUAAGGAUGGAAAGGCGAGGUAAGAGCUCACCCACUUCUACGGUAACGUAGAUUUGCUGUAAACUCUAUUCGGAGCAACACCUUAAAGCACCCCUCGGGGCAGGCGCUCCGCCUGAUUUGCUUGUGGUGGCAGAGCCGUAAGGCUUGAACGCGUCGGCAACGGCGCGUGAAGAUAGAUGAUUGCCGCGCCCAACGGCGCACAGAACCCGGCUUACAGAUCCAGUCCCCGU
rnacentral:RNase_P_RNA from 1 species